ACUACUGUAUAUAUUUGCUCUGAUUGCUGAUUUCCUUUGGGCUUCUUCGCCUCGGUUUGCUAAUUCCUAUAUUUCCAUUGCCUCCAAUUGGGCUCCUCCUCUUGAUAUUUCAAAACCCAGUCUGAUCCUCACACCCACACGAAGACUGACGAUGAGGUACCCGGAAAGGGAAAUCAUAAAAACGAUACUGCUCCUGGGAGAGUUUUAUCAGCAACUUUUGCUGAUUUGCCUGGACCAGAAUUAAAAUGGGAAAAUAUGGCCGCCGCACCUGUAGCUCGCUUGGAUGCGGCGGCUAUAGCCGCUAUACAAAUAAAGAAUCUUCUAUUCGUGUUUGCUGGAUACGGUACCAUUGAUUAUGAAUUUUGGAUGAUUCAUUUUUCCUUUCUAUGGCUUGCCAGCAGUCUUUUGCGUCAUUGCUUCUUGUUGGGUGCUUACAGAGAGGAACUUGACUGUACAGUGCUGUCAAAUUUCAUUACCCUAAUGAUCACCUCUGCUCUGUGUUUAUGUUACUGUAUUUACGGCCUUAGUUUGAUUCUGGUCUUCACUUUUCACAGAUAAGUUAUAAGCUGGCUAAAAUUGCAGCUGAUGCUGUGCCCGAGCAACUCAACUUUGGAGAGGUAGACUUCAUGUAAUGGGUGGUAGCAAGGAGAAUCGAUAUACACCUGGAGUAGAUCAUUGGAGUCUUGCUGUUAAAGAUAGGAAACGCUUUGCUUUCACUGCUGAAUGCACUUGAAAUUGAAAAUUGGGCUC